AGCGAACGCUGGCGGCAGGCCUAACACAUGCAAGUCGAACGAACUCUUCGGAGUUAGUGGCGGACGGGUGAGUAACACGUGGGAAUGUGCCUUUUGGUUCGGAAUAACUCAGGGAAACUUGUGCUAAUACCGAAUGUGCCCUUCGGGGGAAAGAUUUAUCGCCAUUAGAGCGGCCCGCGUCUGAUUAGCUAGUUGGUGAG
rnacentral:rRNA from 1 species